rnacentral:rRNA from 1 species
AGUGAACGCUGGCGGUAGGCCUAACACAUGCAAGUCGAACGGCAGCACAGUAAGAGCUUGCUCUUACGGGUGGCGAGUGGCGGACGGGUGAGGAAUACAUCGGAAUCUACUUUUUCGUGGGGGAUAACGUAGGGAAACUUACGCUAAUACCGCAUACGACCUACGGGUGAAAGCAGGGGAUCUUCGGACCUUGCGCGAUUGAAUGAGCCGAUGUCGGAUUAGCUAGUUGGCGGGGUAAAGGCCCACCAAGGCGACGAUCCUUAGCUGGUCUGAGAGGAUGAUCAGCCACACUGGAACUGAGACACGGUCCAGACUCCUACGGGAGGCAGCAGUGGGGAAUAUUGGACAAUGGGCGCAAGCCUGAUCCAGCCAUACCGCGUGGGUGAAGAAGGCCUUCGGGUUGUAAAGCCCUUUUGUUGGGAAAGAAAAGCAGCAGGUUAAUACCCCGCUGUCCUGACGGUACCCAAAGAAUAAGCACCGGCUAACUUCGUG